CAUCCCUUCGUAGAUACUCCGUAAUUUAAUUGUACGAAAACAAUUUGGGUGAUAUUCUGAGCGAGGGGGGUUUGUAAUUUCACAUACCUUUAUAUAACUGGUUUAAGAAAAAGCUCUCUUGCUCCAUCAAGCUCUAUGGAACGACGUUACUAGCUCAAGCUAUUGUGGGUGUUUAACCAACUUGCAUAAACAUCCUAGAGAAGAAGCUCGAAAAGCUCCUAAUAUGGAGCAUGUCUCUUCAUUGGAGCCCUCUACAGAGACUAAAAAAAGUGAAGAUACAAAGACAAACGAUGCCACUGUUGCAUCAGAGUAUCACAGUAGCAGCAUGAAGAAGGCAAGGUUACAUUCGACACUAGGUGCUCUUCUUAAUGAUCCCAUACUCGCUGAUGUGCCGAAGAAACCAUCACUUUCUGAUGUAGACACUCUUAUAAGCUUGGAACUUGGAAGUGCCAUGCGCAUUACCAUCCUUAAGUUGGACAACACCUCCAUUGAUGUGGCUGUAUUGAAUUCUGCAACGGUUAAAGAAUUAAAACAAGCAGUUAGGAAGAAAAUUGAAGAAAUGGAGGAUUCCAAGAUGGGCCAUCGUCACAUUUCUUGGAAGCAUGUUUGGGAAAAUUUUUGCUUCUCAUAUCAUAAUGAGAAGCUGCUUGAUGAUGGUGCUAAACUUCAGGACUAUGGUGUAAGGAACAAUUGUGAGGUACAAUUUAUUCCCUACAUUAUGUCAAGGGCCUCACAACGACAUUCUAGGGGGAGAAAACACCGCUUCUUUCAUGGUCUGAACAGAGUUGGGUGAACUCUGUAUUGUCUCUCUGAUUUGUUAAUUUUAUCCAUAAGUGUGGCUAGAUCACCUCCCUUUCUGGGAGGAAACAUUGCUGCGUGCUGAUAAUGGAAUCACGCUGGCCACAGAAUCCAUGCAAGUUAGCACCAAUUUUGAAGUUUGAAAAAUAGAGAAUGGGUCUUGUGGAAUCCACUCUUGAUGCCUUAAUCAUACUUGCUUUCUCUGUAUUUUCUGAAUUCUAUAGCUGUAUGUAUAGACGCUAGAGAUAAACUCUGAAGGACUAAAAGGAGAAAAACUUCUCUUUAUUCUUUACAAGGUAUGGAUUAAUAUUUGUUCUAUAUCGAUCUUGUGACUACCAUUUGGAAUGGUAA